AUGCUUGCUUCAACAGCUCACAUGCUAACAUUGGAGCGUUAUUGAGAGCAUUAGCAUGGCCUCUGCGCAAGACUGACCUGCGUAUCUGGGAAGUGGUUUGUAUUUAA
ensembl:snRNA Gm26214 U6 spliceosomal RNA